rnacentral:misc_RNA from 1 species
GAUGAAGAACGCAGCGAAAUGCGAUAAGUAAUGUGAAUUGCAGAAUUCAGUGAAUCAUCGAAUCUUUGAACGCACAUUGCGCCCGCCAGUAUUCUGGCGGGCAUGCCUGUUCGAGCGUCAUUUCAACCAUCAAGCCCCCGGCUUGUGUUGGGGACCUGCGGCUGCCGCAGGCCCUGAAAACCAGUGGCGGGCUCGCUAAUCACUCCGAGCGUAGUAAUACAUCUCGCUCAGGGCGUGCUGCGGGUUCCGGCCGUUAAAAAGCCUUAUUUACCCAAGGUUGACCUCGGAUCAGGUAGGAAGACCCGCUGAACUUAAGCAUAUCAAUAAGCGGAGGA